ensembl:miRNA
UUUGGCACUCCUGGGGAAGGGAAGAGAGUGAGCUGGUGAGGGGAGCUGGAGCCCUGCUCCCUCUGGCUUCUGUUCCCUCAGGAAACUCUGCUGUCCUGGAUGAGA